UGCAAAAUCAAAAUUUUAUAAUUAAGGGUGUAGAUUAAUUUUCAUAGUUUAUCUGGAUAUAUCUAAAGUAUAUUGUCUAUUUUAUCAAAUUUUCAUGGUUAAAUUUAUCUGCACCACUGAAAUCCCCCAGAUAAGACCAUUUCUAUUUUUAGCUCAUUAUUCAUAAUAAAUUUCAUGCAUGAAUAAGGCUAAUUUCAUAGAGUCAUUUAAGUAUUAAAUAGAGUUUAAUCAUACAUGGAGUCAGAUUCACAUAACAUCUGAUACAAAUACCUUUGAAUUGGUGCACACAUAUUUUUUAAUUCAUUCGUUGAUUUUAAGCUAGAUGAUCAAAUAUUAUAAUAAGAUAGGUAAUGUCCAAAACACACUACUUCUCUAAGUAGGAUAUAAAACCUCAAGAAACGUUUUAAAUUUAGAGUUUCUUGGUUCAAACAAUAGAAUUAUCCAUAAAAAAAUAUAUUUGAAUGGGAAUUUGGUUGCAAAUAAAUAUUAAGCUUAUAUUCCGGUGUUUAAAUUCGGGAUUUUUACAAAUUAAAUUAUCUCCCUUUGUGGAACUCUCGUGUAAAGAAGAUAAAGAAGAAUGAUUGGAGAAAGCCAGAUGUCAACAAAAUGGAUGGUUUGAAAUGUAGUUUUGGUGAAAAUUGUAAAGAGAAAGCAGAUAAUAUACUUUAGGAUUGUAAGAAAAACACUUCAGCACACUUGAGAUUUUUUAAAUGUACCUCUGAGUCAGAUUUUGUACAAAUACCAGAAUCAUCGUGCUGGUGUGCAUGGGUUGAGGCUGUCAAUUUUCAGCGGGCGUACAUGUGCUAAACACAGGCAGGAAUAUGGAAUUCAGUGGAAAAGGAAAAGGAGAACAUGCUGUCAUUCACUACAUAAACAAUCUCAAUCUGGCAUAAUCGCGAGUGGAAUUACAUUCAAAGCCGAGAGAUAUGGAUGAAGCUGCAUGAGCACACAUUUUCCAACUGGUUCUGGUGUUCGCAGAAAACGCAUUGAGAGAAAACUGUGUCAAGAUUAAUACAGAUCUGAAGGAGGAGUUGAAAGAAAUAUGCUGUUUAUUAGAGAGAACUACAGAUUCUGAAGCAAUGGACGCUGAUAUAUCUUUUUCUAACCCAAGAGAUUUUGAUCUUCUGUCAUCUCAGAAAACUGUGGGGUCUGAUCAGUCCAAAGAUGAAAGAACAGAGCAUGAAAUCUUAAAUGAAGCUGUGAAAUUAUUGUCAUAUGGAAAGUACUCCCCUGUAAAAUCACAGCCAUCUAUGAAUCUUGAUCAACUUCAGUAUUCAAAGAGAAUUGUGAUACAUGCAUGAAUUCAUAUUAUUAUAUUUUCAUGUUAAAUACUACUCGAAAACCAUUGUCAACCUCCGCUUCGCGUCGGUUG